GCUCUCAGAGUCUGGCCUUCUGCUGGGCCCCGGGUCUCUCACUGGCAGAAUGGAGUUCUCGGAGCUGAUCCAUACGGGCUGAGCCCAAGCAGAGUUUCUACGGGGCCCGGAGGCGCCCCCGCUUCGCGGCACGGUGUGAGUCACCGUCCACCACCUGCUCCUGUCGCCAGGGCCCGCGUCCUCUCCGGACCUGUGGCUGCUGCUGUUGCGUAGCGUCGACUCCUUCGAGAAGCAGUGAGACGUGGCGGGGUGGGGGAGGGUCCCCGGGGUUGGGGAGCGCGCGGCUUGGCGGAGUAGGGGGCACGGCCAGCGCAGUCAGAGCUGGCGCCCUCCUGCGUAAGCCCAAUCCGGGAAACUCGUUGCCCCUCUCCUGGGAAAGGAACGUCCCUCCCCAGGGUUGCGAGUGACUCGGGCACCAUCACCCUGUGCUGUAAAGACCUGCGAGUGCUGCAGCUGGAAAUAGAGGGCGCGGAAGCGACGCUGGGCAUCGCCCGCUCCAUCGAGGGCCUGAGAUUGGGCGACUCCUGGCACUUCCUCCCGCCCGAACUCUACUGCAAGAGAGUAGCUCGCGAAGUGGGCGCGGUCGUAGGGGCCCGGGAAGGUGGAAGCGCCGGGCCUGGAAGAGGCGCGGGGACAGGGCACUCCCUGGGUGCCCUAGACCUGGCCUCUCUCCUCCCUGCGCUGCAGACCAACGCGUGGCGGCUGAGCGAGGGUCCCAAACCACUUUGGCCACAACACCCCCAGACUGGUCCGAAGCCUCGUGAGUUCGCCCUGGUCGUUGCACUCCAGCCUGUCGCUGUGCAGACCUGGCUUAGAGGACCCCUAAGGCUGAGGGGUCACUUCCAGAACUGAGUCCGGUCCGCAGGUUCUGCUACGCUCCAGCCAGCCCCUAACUGGUCCCCAGAAGCGGCGCUGCUACAGGGACCAGGAGCUGCUGCGAACUGCGCUGGCGGGGGCUCGUCCUUGGGCGCGGGGCUUCAUCAUGGACACGCUCUCGGCCCAGGCCGCGAAACAAGCCCGCGUGACUGGCGGAGGCACAGAGACCAAGGCCGCUUAACCUGGCUGGUUGCACUGGUCCCUGGAGAGAGGGCGUCCCCUGCAGGAGAGCUUCAUGCGCCUGGUGGAGGCCUGUGGGGACUCGGAGCAAAGCAUGGACAACUGGCUGAGUCGGCUGGACGGCUGCCGCUGACUGUAACAUGUAAAGCAGGCACUGAGCACCACCUGCCUGGCAGUCCAGGGCAUGGAGAGAUGCCGUGUGAAGGGAGGACUCAGAUGCACUCCCUGUGGUCUGGGCUCAACCAGCCAAAAGAGCAACAAAGACUCCAGAACCCACUCUACCUCCUCAAUCCCUUGGCCAUCUGUGGAGCCCCAGAGCCUGCGGCUGUGGCAAGGCCUGUUUCUGCGCUGGACCUGCUCACCUGAGCCUGCAGAAGCUGCAUGGGGGAAGAGUGUGGCAAAUAGUGACAGGAAGGGAGAAGACAGAAGCCUCUCAGCCAACUGCUUCAGCCGAGCCCCUAUUCUAAGCACUGGCUCCUUGGAUAGCAGCUGAGAUGUUCCUGAAACCUCUGCAGGCCCCUUAGGACCUUUACACCUUGGAUGAGGGUGCCUGCAACCCAGGUUAGCCAAAAGUACUGAGGGUCUUAAGUUUGAAGUGUCCAAAGUAUAGGGAGGUCUCAAUAAUAAAAGUCUCCAUGAUCAGCA
rnacentral:lncRNA from 1 species